GGGCCUGCGUUUCAUUAGCUAGCUUGGUAGGGUAACGGCUUACCAAGGCAGUGAUGGGUAGCUGGUCUGAGAGGAUGAUCAGCCACACUGGGACUGACACACGGCCCAGACUCCUACGGGAGGCAGCAGUGAGGAAUUUUGCGCAAUGGGGGAAACCCUGACGCAGCAACGCCGCGUGAGUGAAGAAGGCCCUUGGGUCGUAAAGCUCUGUCAAUGGGGAAGAAGUUGCGUGGUUCUAACAGGGCCAUGCAUUGACGGUACCCAUGAAGGAAGCACCGGCUAACUCCGUGCCAGCAGCCGCGGUAAU
rnacentral:rRNA from 1 species